rnacentral:rRNA from 1 species
GAAUUCACUAGUGAUUCAGGCCUAACACAUGCAAGUCGAGCGGUAGAGAGAAGCUUGCUUCUCUUGAGAGCGGCGGACGGGUGAGUAAUGCCUAGGAAUCUGCCUGGUAGUGGGGGAUAACGUUCGGAAACGGACGCUAAUACCGCAUACGUCCUACGGGAGAAAGCAGGGGACCUUCGGGCCUUGCGCUAUCAGAUGAGCCUAGGUCGGAUUAGCUAGUUGGUGAGGUAAUGGCUCACCAAGGCGACGAUCCGUAACUGGUCUGAGAGGAUGAUCAGUCACACUGGAACUGAGACACGGUCCAGACUCCUACGGGAGGCAGCAGUGGGGAAUAUUGGACAAUGGGCGAA